AUCCAGAUGACGAGUGCUAAAUUAGACGAAACGAGCGUCAAACUGGAU
rnacentral:hammerhead_ribozyme from 1 species